GCCGAUGUAGCUCAAUUGGCAGAGCUCCUGUUUUGUAAACAGGUGGUUGCGGGUUCGAGUCCCAUCGUCGGCU
rnacentral:tRNA from 1 species